rnacentral:rRNA from 1 species
GACGAACGCUGGCGGCGUGCCUAACACAUGCAAGUCGAACGGACAGGCUCUAGCUUGCUUGCGUACUCGAGUGGCGAACGGGUGAGUAACACGUGGGUGAUCUGCCCUGCACUUCGGGAUAAGCCUGGGAAACUGGGUCUAAUACCGGAUAGGACCGCACUAUGGUGAUUGUGGUGGAAAGAUUUUUCUGGUGUGGGAUGUGCUGGCGGCCUAUCGGUUCGUUGGUGGGGUAAUGGCCUACCAAGACGGCGGGGGGUAGCCGGCCUGGGGGGGUGGACGGGGACAUUGGGACUGAGGUACGGCCCAGACGGGUACGGGAGGCAACAGUGGGGAAUAUUGCCGAAUGGGGGAAACCCGGAUGCAGCGAGGCUCCGUGGGGGAAGAAGGCCUUAGGGUUGAAAACGCCUUUCGCUAGGGACGAUGCAUUUUGUGACGGUACCUGGAGAAGAAGCACCGGCUAACUACGUG